rnacentral:misc_RNA from 1 species
CGAUCCAGUGGCUCUCCGCCAUCAUGCUCAAGGGGACCGUGUGCUGAUCCAUCGGCCGGAUCAGACGGACGCGCCGCUCGAUCUCGCCGUCAUCGAGCAUGACGCUGCUCGCAGGGAUCUGCACCGCGGCGCGGCCGGAGCGCUCGUUGAUCAGCAGGGCCGCACGCGGGUCGCGGAGUUCGGCAAGGGCGUCAUCGAGCGUCAGCGG